rnacentral:rRNA from 1 species
UACGGAGGAUCCAAGCGUUAUCCGGAUUUAUUGGGUUUAAAGGGUGCGUAGGCGGCUUUUUAAGUCAGGGGUGAAAGACGGCAGCUCAACUGUCGCAGUGCCUUUGAUACUGAAGAGCUUGAAUGAACUUGAGGUAGGCGGAAUGUGACAAGUAGCGGUGAGAUGCAUAGAUAUGUCACAGAACACCGAUUGCGAAGGCAGCUUACUAAAGUUUAAUUGACGCUGAGGCACGAAAGCGUGGGGAUCAAACAGG